GACGAACGCUGCGGCGGUGCCUAAUACAUGCAAGUCGAGCGCCAGGGGUGCGUCCCUUACGGGAGAGGUCCCUGGAGCGGCGGACGGGUGAGUAACACGUAGGCAACCUGCCUGUAAGAUCGGGAUAACUACCGGAAACGGUAGCUAAGACCGGAUAGCUGGUUUCUCCGCAUGGAGAGAUCAUGAAACACGGGGCAACCUGUGGCUUACAGAUGGGCCUGCGGCGCAUUAGCUAGUUGGUGGGGUAACGGCCCACCAAGGCGACGAUGCGUAGCCGACCUGAGAGGGUGAUCGGCCACACUGGGACUGAGACACGGCCCAG
rnacentral:rRNA from 1 species